UUACCUUUUGCACUUGCCAAUUAAUUGGUAAAAUUAAAUAUAUAAAUUGAUCUUGAAGCUGCUGUGGAGGAAAAAUAGCAAACGAUACACAUAUAAUAUGAUGUAUGUGAUUAUUUGGUGAAGGUUAGAAUGGAGCAGCGCAUACACUUGUUCGACGGAGCGAAAGCCUGUGUGCAGAUAUGUCUUGAUGUACUUGCAUACAUCAAUAUGGCGAUCGGUUAAAUAUUUGGAUGCCCUUAUGAAUACGAACAAUAUUUUAUUUGCAAUUUUUAAUUUUUUAAAUACAAUUGCCACUCGCUUUAACCACGGACAAUGUGAAGCAAAAAAAUAUGUUCAGACGCACAAAUAUGAAUUAAUCGGCCUGGAGUUGCCGGAAAUUUGGCAAUGGACGAGUUGAGGUAGGUGCACUUCUACCUUGUUUGAAUUUGUAGCUGUUCCUGGAACCUUUUAUUGCAGAUCCACCAAUGCCUGCUGGGGCGAACUGGAUAUGCCAAAUGUUGAGAGAUCCGGCUCGAAGGACUAAAUGAUGUAGUAGGGCGUCCGCAGGGCUUCCAGAUGAACUUUACGAAUUUCUGUAUCGUUGGGGGAGCGUUUCUGCGCUGCACAAAUUUACUUAAAAAGAGUACAUUACAAUGUAUUAGCAAAGACAAUAUAAACACUAAGAUGAGUAACGCCCAUACAUUUGAAUGCGACUCAAAAUUUCUAGCCUGG
rnacentral:sRNA from 1 species